rnacentral:rRNA from 1 species
UACGAAGGGUGCAAACGUUGCUCGGAAUUAUUGGGCGUAAAGCGCACGUAGGCGGCUUCGCAAGUCGGAUGUGAAAUCCCUCGGCUCAACCAAGGAAGUGCAUCCGAAACUGCAAAGCUUGAGUACCAAAGAGGAUCGCGGAAUUCCCGGUGUAGAGGUGAAAUUCGUAGAUAUCGGGAGGAACACCAGUGGCGAAGGCGGCAUCCUGGACCGGCACUGACGCUGAUGAGCGAAAGCCAGGGGAGCAAACGGG